GCCGGAGCCGUACUCGUCGGCGAGGCGGGCGAGCUCGAACAUGUCGGACGCCUGCACCCGGCCCACCGGGAUGUGAAGGCCGACGAAGGAGAGGCCGGGCUGUUUCUGGGGGUGGACGCCGAGGUAAUCCCUUCGUUCCCAUUCCUUCUGCACCAGUUCCUCUGCGGAUGCCCUCUCCAGCAGCUCCUGCGGCAUCCUUCUCUCCACUUCCGAUCUGAACGCUUCUAUGCCCUGUCGCAAUACCACAAACAUCAACCACAUGGAAGACCAUAUGCACAUAUAGAUCUGGGAGCAGCAGAGAUGAGGAAGAGAAGCUGACGAGUUCGUCGAUAAGCCACAUCAUGCGAGUCUUCUGCCGGUUGCCUCUGGUACCGAGAUCUCUGUAAGCCUCCAGGAUGGCUUUGCAGACGGGG
rnacentral:lncRNA from 1 species